rnacentral:lncRNA from 1 species
UCAUAUUUUUUUAACAUGCAAAAAGGAGAAAAAAAUGAUUGAACUUCUCAAAUUUAUUUAUGCUAUCAUUCUAUUUAUUUCUCUACUUGUUGGUGUGAAAUGUUUACGUAAGUCAUUUUUUCAUUCUUUUUUAAUUUGUGCACAGUUUUUUAUCAUGUUUUAACGAUAUUUUUUUCUCUAUUUUUAAUUACAGCAACUUUACGUGAAUGCGAAUCUGAUGAUGAUUGUCCAAAAGAUAUUUUUUAUCUUUUAAUUACGAAGUGCAUUGAUUACAAGUGUGUAGUUAUUAACUCUGGAUAUCCAUUGUCCAUGCCCUAGCGAGUACAAAGAUUUCAUGAAGGAUAAAAUUUGAGUAAUGUGAUGGAACUCAACACCUUUUUUUUUUUGUAUAGUUUAAUUUCUAACUACACAAACUUGAAGAUGUGUCUUGUAAUCAAUAAUAAGGAUCAUGUAAAGAAAUAACACAACCGAGUGUUAAAUAUAAAUUAUUAUUUUCUCUCUUAAUUUUGGAUAUAUCACUAUGGUUUCUAUUAUAGGUUGUCCGCAAGGUUCAAUAAAAUAAAAAAAAAAAGGUCUAAUUGCUACUUUGAGACCAUCCAGCCAAUUGCUACUUUGAGAAAUCGUUUGACUAUAUCAAAUAAUAGAUAUCUUUUACAAUUGGAUUGACUUGAAUCUUUGUGACCUUGGAUAGUUAAUCUCAAAGUGGAAAUUAGGCCCUUUGUUUAUUGGACUUGGUUGAUGGCCUAGAACAGUUACCCUUAAGGUUUGUCAUGGCAUAACAAAUGAGAAGACUUUGCAGAAAUUGGGUUAGCUACUUUACACCGGGAAGGGAAAAGGCUUGGGAGUCGGCACAAGGAGCUUAAAAACGGAUGCAUUAAAUGCUAGUCUCAUCAUUGAGACAUUUGACAAGACCUUUAUGACACAUUGCCCUAUGUUUCUAGGCUAAGGGGUGACGCUUCCUUCUAGGAUGCUUAAUUGCACUUAACUACCGUGUCGCCAUGGGUUCAAUUCUCAUAAACGGUGUAAUUAUUCCUUUCAAGAACCAGAAUUGUUGAUGAGCUGAUGAGGUGGACUCUCAACACGGUGGUGCGGGCCUUUGAUGCAAUAGCGCAGGGACGUAUUUAAAAGGUUAAUACUCCAACGUCCAAGUUAAUUAUUGAGUUAAAAAUAAGUAGAUUGGAUUCUGGUAAAAAUUAUACCUCUGGUU